rnacentral:lncRNA from 1 species
UAUGAAGCUAUGACACUAAUGGUGUGUGCAAUCAUAUGUCAGGAUUCAACAAAAUGCUUGGCCUUCAACUAUAAAAUGAACGAGUGUGAAUUGAUUGAUAAAUACGCCAUUCAUGACAAUAGUACUAACAUGAUUUACAUAAGAGAACCCUGUGUUUAUUGGAAUCGGAAUACAUACUCGUCAUUAAUCAGUUCAAAACAGACGAUAACAUUGGAAGAUUGUAUAUUAGAAUGCAGAAAUCAUACAAAUUGUAAUCAUGCUGUACUAAAUCUUAGAAAUAAUAUUUGCUUCAUGAAAGGAAGAAUAUAUUCCUUUUAUGAAAGAAAUGAUGUCAUCACUGUCAUGCAAUGUCUGGGAGUAUUGAAAAAAGUUAGAAAUGUAAUUAAAUUGAUGUGAGCCAUUUUGUGUUUAACCAUUGUUUUAUUUAUAACAAAUACAAAAAGUAUGAUGAUUAUUUUAAUAUGAAAUAAAUCCGAUUAAUAA